CAAAGCCCUUUAGAAGAAUUCCAUCUUUCCUUCGCUGCACGUUAUGGUCACGUGGAGAGCAGAGUGACUCCGGCUCCAUCUGGUUUCCAUGCUGAAACUGAUGACCGCGGGGACCACGCUCCAGGAGGGCAGGAGAAACCUUCUGACUCGCAUACUGGACCAGGUCUCUAAGGAGCCAGGCGGGUCUCCCAAGGAAACUGAAAUGGCUUGAGAGAGAAGGAAGGAGCCUGGCUUUCAUCUAAAGGACAGGAGAUGACGAGUGUUGGCGAGGAUGUGGAGAACAGGGAGCCUUGUGCUGUUGGUGCGGAGCUCCACAGGUGAAAAGAACAAGGCGCUGACACCUGACACGACGUGGAUGAACCUCGAAAACAUCAUGCUGAGUGAAAGAAGCCAGACUUUGCGGCCACAGAUCGUGUGAUUCCUCUGACAGGAAAUGUCCAGAACAGGCUCUUCGGAAGCUGAGGAAGGCUCCUCUGCGUGCAGGUGCAGCCGGAAGCACAGAGACUGAGCUCCAGGAGGAGACACCCGGCCGGCGGAGAAUGAGAGUUGGGGGAUGGACGUCCCAACCCCCAUCCUCCAGAGAGCCCGCUCCAGGACUGUCCAGACAAACCACCAGAAAACAAAGCUAAGACACGACAGAAGAGAACACGAUUGAAGACCAAGAGCGGUCACAAUGUCGGAUGCUGCAGACAGCCCACAAACGAUGGUCACAGGGAGACAAGCCGAAAAAGAAGGAUUGGGACUCGGGGAAAAGAACUUCAUUUCACAUGCCUAACUCAUCC
rnacentral:lncRNA from 1 species